GGUACAUUUUCAUCCUGCAGAACGAGAGAGAAAGAGCUGAGUCACAUCUCCUUUUUCUUUUUUUUAUUUCCUUCUUGCCUCUCUCCCUCCUGAAAGCGAUUCAAGAAAAUGAAAACAGGAAGCAACUCAUUAAACAAGAGCGAAAGAGGAGCCUCUCGUGGACUUCCGCCUGUACAGAGAGGACUCAGAGAAGGUCUUGACUAAUGGGCUCUUCUCAUCCGCAGACAUCUCGUUUUCAACCUCCUCCCCCUCCUCGACUCCCUGAAAGGUCUGCGGUGGGGAGAAAGGGAAGGAGGAAACCACAAACACAAACAAUGUCAGUGACAGACCAUUUUGAAAGUACAGAAAUUCCCCAUUGACUUUUGGACCAGCCUAAUUACGUGUCAAGCUGUGUGUGCGUGUUACCUGCAUGGUGACCAGCGUAUGGUAGACUCCCUGUUUUUCCAUCAGCUGGCUGUGAGUUCCCAGCUCCACGACUUGACCUUUCUGGAAACCGGCGAUGACAUCAGCGUUUCUGAUGGUGGAGAGGCGGUGAGCCACAACUAUGGUGGUGCGACCCAGUCGGACCUGCACACAAAGAUAUGUGUAUUGCACAAUGGUCUCACUCUCAGCAUCAAGAGCAGAUGUGGCUUCGUCCAGCAGAAGGAUUUUGGGAUUGCGGACCAGAGCUCGAGCGAUGGCAAUCCUCUGCUUUUGUCCCCCACUC